rnacentral:lncRNA from 1 species
ACUACUAAAAUGAGGAUAGGGCCAUCAUAUCUUUCCUCGAAAUACUCUCUAUUUGUUGACAUCUCAAACAGUUACGACAAAAAUCAUGGGCAUUCUUAAAAGGGUUCGCCAAUAAAAUUCACUCUGCAGCACUUUUGUUGCAAUUUUCCUUCAACUAAAAUAUUCCCCACAAGUUAAUGAGUGACAAAAAUUCAGGAUACUUUGAAAUUCACACUCAGGGAUACAUCACCGGAUAAUUUGAUCAGGAUAAAUUUUGAACAACUUGGAUUCUUCCCAAAAAUAAUGUU